UUAGCUUACAUUUUUACGUUCGAGUGUCGCGUUAAUGCUACAGAUAUAACGUUGUCGCGGUCAUUAUUAUAAUAAUUAUUAUUUUUAGUAAACGUCUCAGUCUGUGGUCAGGUGAUGGACCUGCUGCCAGUGUUGGUGGUUCAUGGAGGGGCCGGCACAGUCCCCAGGGAGCGAUCAGAGCAGUCUGUGUCAGGGGUACGAUCAGCUGCUCGGGCAGGAUACGCCAUCCUGCGAGGAGGGGGCAGCAGCAUGGACGCAGUGGUGGAAGCAGUGGCACAUAUGGAAGAUAAUCCAUCUUACAACGCAGGCUGUGGCUCUGUGCUUAAUGUC